rnacentral:misc_RNA from 1 species
GAUGAAGAACGCAGUGAAAUGCGAUACUUGGUGUGAAUUGCAGAAUCCCGUGAACCAUCGAGUCUUUGAACGCAAGUUGCGCCCGAAGCCGUCAGGCCGAGGGCACGCCUGCCUGGGCGUCACACGCCGUUGCCCCCCCGCGCCCCGCACCCAACUCUUUGGGAGCGACCGCGGGGCGGGCUGAUGAUGGCCUCCCGUGCGCUCCGCCGCGCGGUUGGCCCAAAUACCGAGUCCCCGGCGACGUGCGCCACGACGAUCGGUGGUUGAGAGACCUCUGUCGCAAGUCGUGCGCGCCCGUCGCGUCACGCGGGCUCGCAUAGCGCCUCGCGCCGCACCCGGUGCGGAGCUUUCAACGCGACCCCAGGUCAGGCGGGGUUACCCGCUGAAUUUAAGCAUAUCAAUAAGCGGAGGA